rnacentral:sRNA from 1 species
GAACGAAGUACGGCUUGGCGACCACAGCCAC